UGCCCACAACUUGUGAAAAACUUCUUUAUUCACUUUGCAACUACAAAAUUCUGUGAAUACAAUGUUAUGAGUUCUCUAUUAAGAAUAUGGGUUAUUCCCUCUAUUUAUAGAUUUAGAUUAGCUUAUUCCCUAAGUCAAAACUCAAAACUAUAAAAGUCCAAAAUAGUUAACACUACUAAAAAUAGACCUAAAUUGAAAUCAUGUGUGAAGCAACAUGCUUCGACACUUCGACACACUAAUAUAAAUCGACACACUAGGUGAUUCGACAAUUCCUUACUAUAUCAUUACUAUAAGAUACAUUAAAAAAAAAGUUCUCA
rnacentral:lncRNA from 1 species